AGUCACUACAGACCACACACAACUAACUGUGUAUACGUUCUCUAAUAUUUUUCUACUUUAUUGUACUUAAGUUUAUUAUAAAGGAAAUACAGAAACUAUUAUAUUGCGUAAGGGAGAGCAGGACGAGCGUCAUUAGCUGGAGGAACGAUGGUGCUUCUGGUCUGAGCCGUUUACAUCCACUUCCUGUGUCCAUCUGCCUGCAUGAACUCUCACUCCUACGACGGACUUCCUCCUGUGCUUUUCUGUGUUUAGACUGCACCGGAGAGUUUACGCUGUGUUUAUCUGUUAUGAUGCGUUCUUAUUUCUGUCCAGGUACAUGCGGUUUCUUAGCACUUAUCCGUGAGAUGUUUACCAGGCGUCACUACAGCCGUGAGCGUGUCCUGAGUUUGUAAAUACGCAGGUAUAGGCAAAUCAGAAUAUGACCCGAGAGACUUUAUCCAAAUGAUUUUUAUACGCAGAUCUAUGAAGUAAAGACGCGAGAUCGAGCUGUGCUCGUCUGUUGCUCCGCCCCUCCGUGACUGACAGGGACGUCAGACAAUGACAGACUCCGCCUCCUACCGACUGAUGCAAAAACCCACCAAUCAGAUUCCAUUUCAUCGUCGUCGUCGUCAGCUUUGAUUUCCUCCUGUCUUGACAGAAUCGCAGCGGUGCUUGUAAACGGCAGGUUUCUGUGGAUUCAUUUGUGGUGUUUUCUCGUUGAAUGGUACAGUCUGUGAAAACCCCAUUCAGCCUUACGGAGCAUCAGAGCGCUGUGUGUGUGUUUUAUACGUCUCUCCGACGCUGCUCUGUCUAGUAAAACUGUAUUGACUGAAAAACAGGCUUGUUUGCUUUAUUUGUGUAUUCAGUCUGUUGCGUCACUGCCGUCUGUUUGUAGAGCUGAAACCGCUCGAGAACACGUCCUGCUCACAUCACUCUAAAAUCACAAAAAGAAAUACUCACAAUUAUCUCACAAUUCUGACUUUUCUCCAGUUUAUAUCUGAGAACAAAAAUCAGAAUUGCGAUAUAUAAACUCCUAAUUGCUUGCAAGUCUAAAUAUACACUGUGAGCCAGACGGAUCUUCUGCGUUUGGUUCGGCCGAUUCCUGUCGAGAUGGGAGCGUGUCUGGACGUUCAUCCGUCUCAGUCGCUCAGGAUCUCAUCACACUAUGCAACCGCUUCAGUCUGACGUGUUUGUCCUCCAUCCCCUUCAUUCAGAGCGCAGCACAGUCUCGUGCUUCCUGGUGGAGACCGAAACCAUCAGUGAGCGAGUGAACCAGAGUCGGCAGCUGGAGUCUGGUGUUUUAUCUGUGUGCGGAACAGCCUGGCGCUGCUUCACACUGCAGCUCUCUGUCUUAAUCGAUUGCUUCAUUAACGUGGGUCAUAACGGGGUCAGGAACCCUUGAAGGAAACUGAACUUCCUCUGCAUCCGUGUGGGGAAGAGAAGCUUUACUGGAGGGAAUCAUUCCAAAGAUGUGAGCUCUCUGUCCUUCUGUCUUUCUCCCGGUGAGACCUCCGACUGUGAACCUCGGUACAGAUGAAAGGUGCUUGGCAUGAGAUAUUAUUAUUGUUAUUAUUAAUAUUAUUAUUACUGACAUCUCUAGUGAUGGGACUUGUGUGUGUUGCUCUGUUUGGUUGAAUUCUUCUAAUGUCUUUGUCAUGCUUCUUACCUGAAUGGACAUCUGAAUGGUAAUAAAUUGUUCAUGUUUUGCAUUUA